AACGAACGCUGGCGGCAGGCCUAACACAUGCAAGUCGAGCGCGCCCUUCGGGGUGAGCGGCGGACGGGUGAGUAACGCGUGGGAACGUGCCCUUUUCUACGGAAUAGCCUCGGGAAACUGAGAGUAAUACCGUAUACGCCCUUUGGGGGAAAGAUUUAUCGGAAAAGGAUCGGCCCGCGUUGGAUUAGGUAGUUGGUGGGGUAAUGGCCUACCAAGCCGACGAUCCAUAGCUGGUUGGAGAGGAUGAUCAGCCACACUGGGACUGAGACACGGCCCAGACUCCUACGGGAGGCAGCAGUGGGGAAUCUUAGACAAUGGGGGCAACCCUGAUCUAGCCAUGCCGCGUGAGUGAUGAAGGCCUUAGGGUUGUAAAGCUCUUUCAGCUGGGAAGAUAAUGACGGUACCAGCAGAAGAAGCCCCGGCUAACUCCGUG
rnacentral:rRNA from 1 species